GUAGGUAGCAACAAUAAAUCACAAUGCGAGACUUCUAGUCUUGCAAUUGGAUUGAGAACAACGUAAAACUCUUAUCGAUAAGCCAUUGGAGGGCAAGUCUGGUGCCAGCAGCCGCGGUAAUUCCAGCUCCAAUAGCGUAUAUUAACGUUGCAGCAGUUAAAAAGCUAGUAGAAGAAAAGAGGGAGUGUGUGAGAUGAUUGAUUCGAUUGAGAUCAGUACAACCUCCCCCUUCCAAAGUCAGUAUAGGGGUAUUCAUUUAUUUCAUUACUCCUUUGGUCGUUUACUGUGAGAAAAUUAGAGUGUUCAAAGCCGGCGUUUGUUUGAAUAGCUUAGCCAGGAAUAAUUCUUGAAGGCUUUUGUGUUGGAUUUGAUUGGUUUGGUCAUGGAAGCAAGGUUAAUAGGGACACGUUGGGGGUAUU
rnacentral:rRNA from 1 species